UACGUAGGGGGCUAGCGUUAUCCGGAAUUACUGGGCGUAAAGGGUGCGUAGGUGGUUUCUUAAGUCAGAGGUGAAAGGCUACGGCUCAACCGUAGUAAGCCUUUGAAACUGGGAAACUUGAGUGCAGGAGAGGAGAGUGGAAUUCCUAGUGUAGCGGUGAAAUGUGUAGAUAUUAGGAGGAACACCAGUUGCGAAGGCGGCUCUCCGGACUGUAACUGACACUGAGGCACGAAAGCGUGGGGAGCAAACAGGAUUAGAUACCCCGGUAGUCCCUGAGCGGGCUGG
rnacentral:rRNA from 1 species